AAACUGUGCCCAAUCCUUCUAGACCAACCUCCUGGAAAAGUGAAGCGAAUAUGUCCACAGAGAAACGGGAGUCAAGAGUUGAAAGGCCAGAACGGUCUGGGAGAGAAGUCUCAGGGCACACUGUGAGGGGAGCACCCCCUGGGAAUCGGAGUAGUGCCUCAGGCUAUGGAAACCGAGAGGGAGACCGAGGAGUCAUCUCUGACAGAGGAAGUGGAGCUCAGGUAAAGUUGCUGGAAGCUUCCUGUUGAUGCUUACAUUUUCUCUCUUUUUAAAAAUUAAAUUUCUAUUUAUGGGUGUUUUGCCUGCCUAUAUCUGUGUACUAUUUUUAUGCCCUGUGCCUAUGGGAUUCAGGUCUCCUGGAACUAGAGUUCCAGACUGGAUGUUAGAGCUGGGGAUUGAGCUGGGUCCUUGAGAAGAGCAGCUGCUGCUCUUACUGCUGAAUUACAUCAGCCUGGAGAGUUGCCUUUGAGAGUUGUCUUGAUGUUUUCAAGACAGGGUUUCUUUGUUGUAGCCCUGGCUGUUCUGGAACUGGCUCUGUAGACCAGGAUGAC
rnacentral:lncRNA from 1 species